rnacentral:rRNA from 1 species
UACGGGGGGAGCAAGCGUUGUUCGGAUUUACUGGGCGUAAAGGGCGCGUAGGCGGCCUCCGCAAGUCGACUGUGAAAUCUCCGGGCUUAACCCGGAACGGUCAGCCGAUACUGCGGGGCUAGAGUGCAGAAGGGGCAACUGGAAUUCUCGGUGUAGCGGUGAAAUGCGUAGAUAUCGAGAGGAACACCUGCGGCGAAGGCGGAUUGCUGGGCUGACACUGACGCUGAUGCGCGAAAGCUAGGGGAGCGAACGGG